AACGUGGCAAAGGACUCAUAUAGCCGAAAGAAAAUGGGAUUAUUCGAUCGUUUAGCGAAUCUUCUUGGUCUUAGGAAAAAAGAAGUAAACGUUUUAGUAGUGGGCCUUAAUAACAGUGGUAAGUCGACGGUCAUAAAUAAUUUCAAACGCGAGGAUGACCGUUGCAUAGACAUAGUGCCCACUGUCGGGUUUAAUGUCGAGAAGUUCGCAUUUAAGAAUGUCAAUUUCACCGCUUUCGACAUGUCGGGUCACGAUCGUCACAGAUCCUUGUGGGAGCAUUAUUAUAAAGACUGCCACGGGAUUAUCUUUAUAAUUGACAGUAGCGAUAAACUCCGAUUAGUUGUUGUGAAGGAAGAAUUGGACAUGCUCUUGCAACAUCCCGAUGUGGCAGGUCGCAAGAUACCCAUCCUUUUCUUGGCGAAUAAAAUGGAUUUACCCGAUUCCUUGACCACGGUAAAGCUGGUCGCUGGACUGGGUCUGGAGCGAAUACAAAAUAAACCUUGGCAUAUACGGGCAACAAACGCGAUAACCGGCGAAGGUUUGCAGCCGGCGAUUGAGUGGUUGACGGAUCAAAUUCGCGAUAUAUAUAUUAACAAGAGAUAAAACGCGCCGACAUUGUGUCUGCAAUUGAUUCAAUGUUUUUUUUCUUUUAUGAAAUAUGUCGGAUUGACAUCAGUGCCUGUAAUAUCAUUUAUUCAUAUAUAUCACGCUCGGCAUCACGAAUUUCUUGCUCUUCAAACUUGGACUAUGUUUGAUUUGGCGCUAAAAAUAUUUGGAAGUAUUUUUGUAGCAUAUCAGUUGAACGCAAGAUGGAUCAACUAUAAUUAUAAAAUACAUAGACGGAAUUUAUUCUACGACAUAAACACAAUAUCAAAUCAAUUGGGUGACAUUGUGUCUAUCUGUGUUUUCUUGCUAGAAAAGCUCCUAUGUAUAAAAAUAUAUAUAUUAUUAUAUAUAUAUAUAUUGGACAGUUCGGUGCUAAUUGAAAAACUACCUUAGAACAUAUUUGAUAUUAUUAUUAUUAUAUUAUUAUUUUAUAAUUAUUAUUUAUUUUAAGAAAAUUAUCCACCAAUUACAAGCAUAAUUGGUGUACCGAAAUUAUCCGAAAGUAAUCCGUCUAUAUAUUUUAUAUGUCUAUGGAACCAACAGUCAUAAUAUAUGAAUGUCUAGAUGCGACACGUCGAUUCGGAAAAUAGCUAUCUUCAAGUCAAAGACGUGGCGCUCGUGAUGCCGAGUGAAAUUCGUCAGUGUUUCCCGGAUAACGUUCGCCGAUACAGUUUCGGCGUAACAGCGCGAAUAAACUUUCGGUAUAAAGUUUUCAUUACGAAAAGAAAGUGUAUCCUUCGCGUUGAAAAAUGCUGAUAUAAUUAAGGUAAAAAGUGUAGCGUUAGAAAUUUCGCGUUCGGUUUUCGAUUCUUGUUCGGAUCGCAAUCUUUUAUGGCGAUAUUUAAUUGGGAAGCAUCGCUGCAAGAGCUCAAUUCAAAUCCGUCCAAAAGUAGGCUUACACAGCUGAAUAUAAUGUCUGGACGGUCGUUAAAAGUGUGUCGAUGACUGGCGACGCACGUUUUUGGAAAACAAAUGACCAGAGAAAGUGCAGCCGGCGAGUUAAAGAAUCUAACGGAGGUGUGGUCGGCGUUUUUAACAGCCAUUGAUGAAACCCGAAAGAGCUAAUAAAGUCUUCUUUGCCUCUCGCUCUUCACACGAUGUCUGUCCCAGGUAUGAUAAUUUACAGUUGUGUCAGCUCAAAAUCGUUUGCUUCACAAUUAAGUUAAGUCAUCAUGUGACGCUACAACCGAGUUUAUAAAUCUAAAUGCUAAUUAUCCAUUUUCGAUUAAACUCUUAUUUUCACGCGCGUUUAUAAAGAGAAAGUUGCAUUCGAGGUUGAGAUGAUACGUUUUCCUUAUUCUUUUUGCAACUAAGUAAUUUGAUAAUUAGUAACAUCCGGAUGUAAAGUAUGUGUUUCACGUUGUUUCUCUAACGUAUCCUAUUUUUCCCUAACGCUGUCCUAUAUUCUUCGUUUUAAAAUUAUUUAGAUCGAGUCGCGUUUUUUACGAUAGUUUCACGCGCAGAUAUUAUCUCCGGGAGACUUCGCGCGACGAUAAUCGGGCAGUUAUUAAUGCGAAAAUCGCUUUCGUACUUUCGUCUCUUCCGGUACGACCUACUUCGUGCAUACGCGCGAGGAAACGUUUGACACUCGGGGAAGUGUUUUAGAUUUUCGUCGUACGCGAGUGACGCGAUCGGAUCGCCCACUUGUAAAAUCGAGAACCGGUUUUGCUCAUUACGCCGCCCUCUUGCACGCGUCUCCUUCGACGGGAACUCGCGCCGAUAUACAGACGAUAUAUCCGGCGCAAAUCGAUAGUCGUGUGUUCAAGUCAUCCUUUGUGCGCGAUGAAUGAAUGAAUAUCCAUCGCAGAAUUCUAUAUCUAUUUUAAUCGCGCCAAUUCCAGAGAUAUCUGAGAGCGUUUCAGACUGACAAUGAGAACUGAAGCAAUAUUCUGUGAACGUUAAAUUUCGAGUUAAUUACAACGAUUGAAUUUAAAUUCUCAUUUCGAUCUCUUUACGCAUUUCAAAUUAAAAUGGAGAGCACAUUUUCUCUAUUUCUUUUUAAAUAUCAAGCUAGAAAUAAAUUUUUAAAUAAAACUGUGUAGCAGAAGCCAAUAUUUUUUCAACAUUUUUCUAAUUCUAAUUCGAAAUAAAAACAGUUUGAUUCGUCCAAGUUUGCUCACAUAAGAGGCUUUUCUUACGAUACGUCUUGAAGAGAAGACGGAGAAUGAGAAUUUUUUUUCUCUUACAUCUCUGUCAAACAGAACAUCUUGUUAAAAACAAAAAAAAAAAAAAAAAAAAAAAAAAAAAA